CUUGACUGUAUCUCGGAAUUGGGUUCGGGCUUUUCUUGCGCAGCCUAGGUGGGAGGCUAUGAAGAUUUCCUUCCGGGGAAGUUGGAGCCAACAGUGAGAGACCACUCUGGAGAGGCUAGAAUCCUAAUGGUGAUCCUUGAAUCAGGACACUUGACAGUUUCAGGUGGGCAGUUUUUCUGGGGCGGAAGCCUCAUAAAAGGUAACUGAGGCGCGCAAAGGUCCCCUCAGUCUGGACGGAAAUCAGACAUUGAGUGUAAAGGCGAAAGGGGGCUUGACUGCAAGACCUACAAGUCGAGCAGGAGCGAAAGCUGGCCUUAGUGAUCCGACGGUGCCGUGUGGAAGGGCCGUCGCUCAACGAAUAAAAGUUA
rnacentral:rRNA from 1 species